ensembl:lncRNA
GGUUUUAGUCCUUUGAGUAAUCCUUCCACACGCACGCACGCACGCACACAUGCGCACACACACACACUCGCGUAUGUACCGCUGCUCGCAGCUCCACAGGUGCGCACUCUCCCGUGCACACCCACUUCCUCUCCCACCUACUGCAGGCCAGCUCGGAGGGCGUCCCAUCUGAGAAUCAGGGAAACCUGCUCUGCUGCCUUCCGAGCUGAGUCCCCAGCUUCCCCGGAAGAAUCAGCCCUUUGUGGCUGGCGUCAGGCUUUGCCUUGGUGCGGCCGGAAGCAUGCCCAGUCCAGCUUCAGAGCCGCCUUGGAGGGCAGGGCAGCUGGUCAGAGGUGCACCUUUGCGGGUGAAGAGUUUCCUUUUUGAGCUGCUUUUUAAUACAUGAACAGGCUCCUCCUCUGAAGACCUAAACAUGCGAUAUGAAAAACCCACCAACUAACAAAUAGCUUUUUUUAAAGUCAAGUGUUAGUCACUCAGUUGUGUCCGACUCUUUGGGACCCCAUGGACGGUAGCCCACCAGGCUUCUCUGUCCAUGGGGUUUUUCAGGCAAGGAUACUGGAGUGAGUUGCCAUUUCCUUCUCCAGGGGAUCUUCNNNNNNNNNNNNNNNNNNNNNNGUCUCCUGCAUUGCAGGCAGAGUCUUUACCAUCUGAGCCACCAGGGAAGCUCUGUGUGAUGGAUAAUAGACGUCAUGGUUAAGGAUGUGGACAUCGAAAUCUAUUGGUAAAAAGUUAUAGGGCAUGAAAAGAAGGAAUCAAAGACAACAAGGAAAUUCAAGACCGAAAUGGACCAAAACUGCCCUGUUUGGGACAGCCCACAUGAUAUAGUCCUGUCCAUCUCUUCCCUCCUCUAAAAUGCUAAGCAUGUCUUUUCCAAUAAAUGAAAAUAGUUGAAGUACAGUUGCUGUUUCUCAGGAAGUCACUACUCCAGAAAAAUGUGGUUUUCCAAAACAAUUUUGUGUUCAUUUCAUGGCUUCUGGAGCUGAAUGUUCUUUUUCUUGAAUAAAUUAACAUGCAUUAUCCAUGUAAAUGUCGUAUUUAUGUGUAACUGUGCAGAAGUGUAUAUACACAUACAUAUCUACUUCAGAUAAACAACACAGAAGAGAGUUUUGGAAGAGUAACCACUAGCUCAGCCCUCUGGAGGGGCAUUCUAAGGUGUGAUAUUUACUAGUCAUACCUUCCAUUAGAAAAACUAUUCGGACCUGAUAAAACAGGAUUUCUAAAAAGGAGCGUCACACACCCGCCAUGAUGUGUGGAUCUUUCUUGUUCUGGAGCCGCUGGCAAUCAAUGCAGUCUAAGGGGGAAAAAUCACAUAUUGAGCUGUUACUUUGGGAACAAAGCAGGGUUUGUUUCACAAGCCAUUCACGGCAACAGAGGAGAAGGCCUCUUUUUAAAACUCAAUCACUGGUUUGCUCCUGAACAUGGGCAUAAAAUAGGGAAAUUAAUAGAAACUGGUGUUCUUCCUAUUCUCACCAAAUUUCUUGUCUCUUAUUUUUAUUGGACUAGGCAACCCCUCACAUUUCAGUCUUGAAUUCUCCUUUUGUCAAAUCACCAGAAAUUUAAAAGAAAUGUAGUGUAUUCCUUUUCCCUAAAAUCAAUCCACAUCUCACCCCUUGGAAAAGUCCUGGAUCUUGCCAUCUACUUGCCAUCGCUCACAGGAAUGAGCGAUCUCUCUUGGGAGCUACAAGAAAGUGAAGUUACUCUUCACUAAGAGAAGACCCAGCUCACACCUCUGAGAAGACCCAACGCCCAGCCCUGGCCCUGGCGGCGGCCGCUGUGGCCCCCCAAGAACAGGGGAAAGAGAAGUUUACAGGUCGUCAAACCCUCCUCCCUGGUGUUUGGGGAUGGUGAAGGAGGAAAUUAAACCUGGACUCUCUGGCCCUUCAUUAACAUUUUGUUUCGAUGUUUGUAAUAGUCCUUUGCUUUCUAACAUCCAGGCUUGACUGGAACUUAGAAGUUGUUACUGAAUUUUUGUGUGGAGGUGUGUGAGGCUCCAGUGUUAUCUCAAACACAUGGGGCUACACUGGAAAGCUAAUUUUCAGUGUCUGCAUCCUAUCCAAGCCCUCGAAAAAGAUGCUUAUCUCACAUGAGAGUGUUUUCAGCAUAGCCAGCAUCAGGGUCACCUGGGUGCGGUUAUCUGGAGAAAGAAAAGUGAGCUCAUUUGGGGCACAGACACGUUCUCAGAUUAUUUUCUGUGCAGAAUAAGAUAAAAGGCUUAAGAAAUGUGUGGACAUCUGCUUCUAAGGGGUCAUCCAGCUGGUGUACUACCUGAACGUAGACACCCCACGAGUUAAACAAGAAGCAUCUCAGCAGCAUGAAAAUCAGCCACCGAAGCUCCUCCACGCCGGACGUGUGCUCAGCUGCUCAGUCGUGCCCGACUCUGCGACCCCCUGGACUGUAGCCUCCAGGCUCCUCUGUCCAUGGGAUUCUCCAGGCAAGAGNNNNNNNNNNNNNNNNNNNNNNNNNNNNNNNNNNNNNNNNNNNNNNNNNNNNNNNNNNNNNNNNNNNNNNNNNNCCUGCGCUGGCAGGCGGGUUCUUUACCACUAGCGCCACCUGGGAAGCCCCCAAGGGUGACAAGGUGACUGCUGAGC